rnacentral:rRNA from 1 species
CGGCAGCGGGUCCUUCGGGAUGCCGGCGAGUGGCGAACGGGUGAGUAAUGCAUCGGAACGUGCCCAGUCGUGGGGGAUAACGUAGCGAAAGUUACGCUAAUACCGCAUACGACCUGAGGGUGAAAGCAGGGGACCGCAAGGCCUUGUGCGAUUGGAGCGGCCGAUGUCAGAUUAGCUAGUUGGUGGGGUAAAGGCCUACCAAGGCGACGAUCGGUAGCCGGCCUGAGAGGGUGACCGGCCACACUGGGACUGAGACACGGCCCAGACUCCUACGGGAGGCAGCAGUGGGGAAUCUUGCGCAAUGGGCGAAAGCCUGACGCAGCGACGCCGUGUGGGGGACGAAGGCCUUCGGGUUGUAAACCCCUGUCGGGUGGAACGAAUCCCCCGAGGACGAAUACUCCUCGGGGUUGACGGUACCGCCGGAGGAAGCCCCGGCUAACUACGUGCCAGCAGCCGCGGUAAUACGUAGGGGGCGAGCGUUGCUCGGAUUUACUGGGCGUAAAGAGCGCGUAGGCGGCCAGGGAAGUCUGGUGUGAAAUCCCUCGGCUCAACCGAGGACCCGCAUUGGAGACUCCCUGGCUUGAGUCCAGGAGGGGAGGGUGGAAUUCCCGGUGUAGCGGUGAAAUGCGUAGAGAUCGGGAGGAACACCGGUGGCGAAGGCGGCCCUCUGGAAUGGCACUGACGCUGAGGCGCGAAAGCUGGGGGAGCAAACGGGAUUAGAUACCCCGGUAGUCCCAGCCGUAAACGAUGGGCGCUAGGUGUGGGGAGGUAUUGAUCCNCUUCCGUGCCGCAGCUAACGCAUUAAGCGCCCCGCCUGGGGGAGUACGACCGGCAAGGUUGAAACUCAAAAGGAAUUGACGGGGGGCCCGCACAA